GACGAACGCUGGCGGCGUGCUUAACACAUGCAAGUCGAACGAAGUGGCGAACGGGUGAGUAACGCGUAAUCAACCUGCCCUUCAGAGGGGGACAACAGUUGGAAACGACUGCUCAUACCGCAUACGGAAGGUGGGGAUGGCGUGGGAUUAGAUGGUUGGGGGGGUAACGGCCCACCAAGGCGAUGAUACGUAGCAGGGCUGAGAGGGUGAACGGCCACAUUGGGACUGGGACACGGCCCAGACUCCUACGGGAGGCAGCAGGGGGGAAUCUUCCGCAAUGGACGAAAGUCUGACGGAGCAACGCCGCGUGGGUGAUGACGGCCUUCGGGUUGGAAAGCUCUGUUAAUCGGGACGCGGUACCGGAAUAGAAAGCCACGGCUAACUACGUGCCAGCAGCCGCGGUAAUAC
rnacentral:rRNA from 1 species